rnacentral:rRNA from 1 species
CUUGUACACACCGCCCGUCACACCAUGGGAGUUGGAUUUACCUGAAGACGGUGCGCUAACCCGCAAGGGAGGCAGCCGGCCACGGUAGGGUCAGCGACUGGGGUGAAGUCGUAACAAGGUAGCCGUAGGGGAACCUGCGGCUGGAUCACCUCCUUU